CCUACGGGAGGCAGCAGUGGGGAAUAUUGGGCAAUGGAGGAAACUCUGACCCAGCGACGCCGCGUGCGGGAUGAAGGCCUUCGGGUUGUAAACCGCUUUCAGUAGGGAAGAAGCGAAAGUGACGGUACCUACAGAAGAAGCACCGGCUAACUAUGUGCCAGCAGCCGCGGUAAUACAUAGGGUGCAAGCGUUGUCCGGAAUUAUUGGGCGUAAAGAGCUCGUAGGUGGUUCGUCACGUCGGAUGUGAAAAUCUGGGGCUCAACCCCAGACCUGCAUUCGAUACGGGCGAUCUAGAGUGUGGUAGGGGAGACUGGAAUUCCUGGUGUAGCGGUGGAAUGCGCAGAUAUCAGGAGGAACACCAAUGGCGAAGGCAGGUCUCUGGGCCAUUACUGACACUGAGGAGCGAAAGCGUGGGGAGCGAACAGGAUUAGAUACCCUGGUAGUCCACGCCGUAAACGGUGGGCACUAGUUGUGGGAACCUUCCACGGUUUCUGCGACGCNGCUACGCAUAGUAGCCCGCCGUCGGGAGGUACGAGUCGCGAAGAAGUUAAACGUAACGUAAAGGUAAGUUAGUUACGGCGUGAGACGUAGCCGACGGACGACGACGAGGGAGGAGG
rnacentral:rRNA from 1 species